CGGAUUUGAAGGGCGAAUGUCCGCCGCUCCUGCGUGUGAAAUGGAAGAAAAGGACAGACGAUGAAGCGGAAAAAUAGUUCCUCCAAGAACACUCCUGACUCCAUCUAUAAUCUCAGGCUCUUUGACAAAGGAGAAACUGAGAGAAAUUCCGUUUGACCAACCAAGUGUCCCAACAACUGCUCCAACUGACCAACUGGAACCAGAAGGGUACUUGGAAAUUUGUGUGACAUGAAGUCUCAAGCGUGAAGGAUUCCCCUCCCCUGUCCACGCUCCCCAGUGCAGCGGACUGUCCUGCAGUGGUGCCUCCGGGAACGCUGCUCUGGUUGUGACUCCUGCCGUCUCUCCAUGGAGAUGGAUGGCCGUGCUGGUCCGAUAUUGUAUAUGAUUCAUUCACUCAAACAGAAGCUGGAUGCUGGUGUCCAGAGGUGACCACACGUUCUCUUUUUCCAGGACAUCAGUCAUAUUUUGGGACCUAAAUGUGAAUUUUUCAAAAACAAUCUGGGCUCCAAUAGCCUAAAAUGUAAAGAAUUUGUUUUCUCCGGUCAGCCAAGAACCUCCUUCAGCCCACUGUCUUCUAUUUCUGAAAACCAAAACACAUUCACUUUAGGACACACAAUGCACCUCAUUUCAGUGGGACAGAAUUCAGUUCAGUUCACUUCAGUUCAGCUGCACUGUCACACAGGCGUGUACUGAGAAUUGAGUUCCGUUUCCUCAGGUGUAAACAUGACGUAUGGUGCAGGAUAGUGGAAAUAAAACAUCCCACAAGUUACUCUGAACAUUAUUAUAGUACAUUAUUUAGUCGAUGGCUGAGAGAAUUUAACUUUGUGUUUAAGAUAUGUAUGACAAAUUGAAUAUAUGAAAUGGAUGUUACUUGAACAGAUGAACAGAUGUACUGUUAAAUGACCCCAAGCUGAAGGAAGGCAGAAUUAGACAUGUUGUAGCAUCGCUGGUUCCAGGAUUUGUCCUUCACACCUAAUGUGUGGAACGUCUUUCAGAAGUUUCCUGUGGUGCAGUGGUGUCUGGUUUUGUAUUCUCUACAGACCUCUGCACAGUCACGCUUUUCACAGAACUGCUGACCCUUCUCCUAAUCACAGUCCUGUUAUGUUCCAUAGUUCAGUACAUAUUCAGUAAUAUGUUACAGCUGAUCUCGGACCGGUUUCUUUUCUUGUGAG